rnacentral:rRNA from 1 species
AAAGCUCGUAGUUGAACCUUGGGCCUGGCCGGCCGGUCCGCCUCACCGCGUGUACUGGCUCGGCCGGGCCUUUCCCUCUGUGGAACCCCAUGCCCUUCACUGGGCGUGGCGGGGAAACAGGACUUUUACUGUGAAAAAAUUAGAGUGCUCCAGGCAGGCCUAUGCUCGAAUACAUUAGCAUGGAAUAAUAGAAUAGGACGUGUGGUUCUAUUUUGUUGGUUUCUAGGACCGCCGUAAUGAUUAAUAGGGACAGUCGGGGGCAUCAGUAUUCAAUUGUCAGAGGUGAAAUUCUUGGAUUUAUUGAAGACUAACUACUGCGAAAGCAUUUGCCAAGGAUGUUUUCAUUAAUCAGGAACGAAAGUUAGGGGAUCGAAGACGAUCAGAUACCGUCGUAGUCUUAACCAUAAACUAUGCCGACUAGGGAUCGGACGGUGUUAUUUUUUGACCCGUUCGGCACCUUA